AGUUACCAGCACGUUAUGGUGGGCACUCUAAGGAGAACUGCCGGUGGACAAACCGGAGGAAGGUGGGGAUGACGUCAAGUCAUCAUGGCCCUUACGGCCUGGGCUACACACGUGCUACAAUGGUCGGUACAAAGGGUUGCCGAAGCCGCGAGGUGGAGCUAAUCCCAUAAAACCGAUCGUAGUCCGGAUCGCAGUCUGCAACUCGACUGCGUGAAGUCGGAAUCGCUAGUAAUCGUGAAUCAGAAUGUCACGGUGAAUACGUUCCCGGGCCUU
rnacentral:rRNA from 1 species